CCAAUUUAAAAAACGGGACUUUAAAUUAAAAAUCUAAAUACACGGUUAGAUUUGGCAUAUCAAAGAACCCCAAUAAUUCAAUUUUUGAUAAAAUCAAACAAAGUUUAAUUUUGGACCCUUUUGACCUCAAUAUGAACAAAUUUGAUAGCGGGGCCUACAAAUAAAAAAUCUAAAUACAUGGUUAGAUUCAGCAUAUCAAAGAACCUCAUAUAUUCAAUUUUUGUUGAAAUCAAACAAAGUUUAACUUUGGACCCCAAUUUGGACCAACUUGAAAACUGGGCCCAUAAUCAAAAAUCUAAAUACAUGUUUAGAUUCAGCAUAUCAAAGAACCUCAUGUAUUCAAUUUUUGUUGAAAUCAAACAAAGUUUAAAUACUGGACCCUAUCUUGGACCAACUUGAAAACUGGGCCCAUAAUCAAAAAUCUAAACACAUGUUUAGAUUCAGCAUAUCAAAGAACCCCAAGAAUUCAAUUUUUGUUAAAAUCAAACUAAGUUUAAUUUUGGACCCUUUGGACCUUAAUGUAGACCAAUUUAAAAAACGGGACCCAAAAUUAAAAAUCUAAAUACACCGUUGGAUUCGGCAUAACAAAUAAAUAAAUGUGAUCAACGAUUUUACAAAUCUAAUGCGCCAUACUGUGCAAUUAAAGAUUUCUUCUUGAAAUUUUUCAAUAUUUGAAAUUUGAAAAAAAAUAAUAUUUGAAGAAUAAUUUUUUUAAUUUCUGAAAUCUGAAAUGAGAAAAAAUUGACCCCCCACAAUUUCUUUUUAUCCCCCGGUCUAUGUGCAUAUUAAACAAAGGACACAGGUGGAUUCAUAACAAAUUGUGUUUUGGUGAUGGUGAUGUGUUUGUAGAUCUUACUUUACUGAACAUUCUUGAUGCUUACAAUUAUCUCUAUCUAUAAUGAACUUGGCCCUGUAGUUUCAGUGGAAAUUAUUUUGUAAAAAUUUACAAAAUUUAUGAAAAUUGUUAAAAAUUUAUUAUAAAGGGCAAUAACUCCUUAAGGGGUCAAUUGACCAUUUUGGUCAUGUGACUUUUUUGUAGGUCUUACUUUGCUGUACAUUAUUGCUCUUUACAGUUUAUCUCUAUAAUAAUAUUCAAGAUAAUAACCAAAAGCUGAAAAAAUUUCUAAAAAUUACCAAUUCAGGGGCAGCAACCCAACAACGGGUUGCCUGAAUGGUAUGAAAAUUUAAGGGCAGAUAGAUCUUGACCUAAUGAACAAUUUUGUUUGUGAAAGAUUUGCUAGAAAUGCUUUGGGUUUAGAUAUAUGAGCCAAAAACUGCAUUUUACCCUAUGUACUAUUAUUAGCCAUGUCGGCCAUCUUGGUUUGAGGGCGGGGUCAUCAAACACAAUUUUUAAACUACAUACCCUAAUGAUGAUUGUUUACAACUUUAGUUAAAUUCAUCUUAGUAGUUUCAGAGGAGAAGAUUUUUGUAAAAGAUAACAAAAAUUUACGAAAAAUUGUUAAAAAUUGACUAUAAAAGAGCAAUAACUCCUUAAGGGGUCAACUGACCAUUUUGGUCAUGUUGACUUAUUUGUAGAACUUACUUUGCUGAACAUUAUUGCUGUUUACAGUUUAUCUCUAUCUAUAAUAAUAUUCAAGAUAAUAACCAAAUAAGGCAAAAUUUCCUUAAAAUUACUAAUUCAGGGGCAGCAACCUAACAACGGGUUGUCUGAUUCAUCUGAAAAUUUCAGGGCAGAUAGAUCUUGAGCUAAUAAACAUUUAUACCCUUUGUCAGAUUUGCUCUCAAUGCUUUGGUUUCAGAGAUAUAAGCCAAAAUCUACAUUUUAUCCCUAUGUUCUAUUUUUAGCCAUGGCAGCCAUCUUGGUUAGUUGGCCGGUUCACCAGACACAUUUUUUAAACUAGAUACCCUAAUGAUGAUAUUGGCCAAGUUUGGUUAAAUUUGGCCCAGUAGUUUCAGAGGAGAAGAUUUUUGUAAAAGUUUACGGACGAAGGACGACGGACGCAGGACGACGGUCGACGGACGCCAAGUGAUGAGAAAAGCUCACUUGGCCCUUUGGGCCAGGUGAGCUAAAAAACAAGUUGCAUGAGCACAAUUUUUUAUUUUUAUUUUCUUAAAGGGCAUUUUUAGAACGAUCUCAUAUUUUAUCUAUUCUAUAAAUACAUCCAGAUAUAUUAUAACAUGGUUUUCAGUUGUUUUAUAUUAAAUACCUUGUAUUCAGGGUACUCUACAGUGCAGGGUACUUUACAAUGCAGAUCAAAGGAAAAUAUGUGGCAAAAUUUUUAACAAACUUUUAUAAACAUACUCUUUCCAAAUAAUAAGCAGUAUACAAGACAUCAAAAAUAAAAUAAAAAUAAGAGUGAAAGGACCCAGGGCAAACAGUUAGGGAUUUUCUGUUUUGAAUUUUCCUCAGAGUUCGAUAUUUUUGUUAUUUUUUACUUUUUUAUAAGGGCGCACGGACCCAGGGCGAACAAGUAUUAGGGCGAAUAUGUACUAGGGCGAACGGAAUUCGAGUGGUGGUGGUGCAAUUGUGUGUAUAAAGAAGAAUUCUAUAUUAAAUAGAAGUGCCAUAAAUUCAAAAGCAAGGGAUACUUUUUCCUAGCUUAACUGAAGUGGUUUAUCUGAUAAAGGUGGAAUUUACAGAAUAUGUAACAGGUAUAACUGACACUAAGACAACAAUAUAUUAAAAUGGUCAUUACUAAUUGACAAGCAAUUUCCGCACGGUAGGUUGGUAUGAGAGUCUCAGAGAGACAUUCUGACACUGCAACUAAGACCAGAUACACAUUUUUAUUUUAUGCAGUCUCAGGUUUUAAAAUUACUGGCGAUCCUUUUUUCACUUGGUCUAAAUCUUACCACGUAAAUUCGUUUACUCUCUUAUGGAAUUGCAAUUUAAUGUAGGUUUUGUUUGUUUCAAAAUAAACUGUUUUUCCUUAUAAAAUAUUUCAAUCUUGCAAUCAGCAUGAUCAACCAAAUCUUGCAAUCAGCCAUUCUUCGUGUUGACAGACGACGCGAGUACGAAUCGCAAUCUGUCAGCAAAGUUCUAAAUGCACAUAAAAUAGUCCGCUGUCGAGAUUUGAAUACUUUUGAGAAUGACAAGACAUUUCAUCGUUCCUUAUAGAACAAAAUAUAAAUCAAUACACGUUUUUAUUUUAUUGAUCUUGCUAGGGAUGUUUCUACUUAAAUGUUAAUGUAGUAAUCUUCCCUAACCUUUCCGUACGAAAGGAGAGCUACGUAAAGACGCAAUGAACCAGAAACAGAUGAGGAAGGAAUUUCAUGUGUUAUUUGAUGUUGCAGAAAAUACAAAUGAUGCCAAAGAAGAAAUGAGAAAAGGAACUUGGACUGCACCUUUUUCUUUGCAGCUCUUAAGAUCUAGGAGGUGAAUUUCCUUCUGUUGAGGAGUCAGAAAUUUAGACUGUCCUGAAGAUGAGGGAUAUUAAAUGAAGAUUAUUAUUGAAAAAAAUAGCACCUUGAAGUACUAGAAGAAUUUGAAAACAAAUUAACUUGGUGAAAUAGUCCUACUGGAUAUGACAGAACACCAAGAGAAAUGGCGAAAAAUUACACAACUUAUCACAAGAAGAUAAAAGCUUUUUGCAAUUUUCAGUGGUUCUGAGAUCAGUUACAGUCAAAGGAAAAAAAAUACUGAACAUGAAUUAACGAUUCAUCGAUCUUAUGAUAUAUCUUGAUUGAUAUCUUAAAACAUAUUGACUGUAAAUUAGUUACAAAUUCACCAAUUAUAUCUGUUGUUCACAAAAUUUGUUAUUGUUGUUAAUUGGAAAUAUCUGUUGAAUGUUUUGAAAUUAAAAUGUGUAAAUUUAAAUGAUGUUCAUUGAAGUCUUUAAAUGAUACAAAAGGAAGGAUACAUGGAAUGAUUGCCAUUGAGACAACUACUUAUCCUGGAUAGGAGGGCAGUGAUGUAAACAACUACAGUUCACCUUAAGCCUUCAACUAUGUGCAAAAUCCAUAAGUUAAAGACAGUUAUAAAAGGUCCCAAGAUAAUGGUACUUAUACUUAUACAUCCUUGGCUUUCAAAUUUAUGGUUUGAGUGUUUCUGAUGAAGGUAAAUUAAAAAAAAAGCACAGCAAAACUUAAUUUAUAAAAUGUUUUUUUUUUUAAUUUCAAAAGAGAAUACUACCGGGUAUUUUUAAUUUAAGCAAAAUUUAAGCAAAUAACAAAAAAAGAAAAUCGAUUAUGGCAGACAGCAACCAAACACAACCACUGGACUUUAUGAUCCUGUUUUGGAGUGCUCAAACUGCUCCAUAACCUGGAACUCAAAAACAUCUUAUACAUGUAUAAUACUGAAAGACACAAAAGUGAAAAGUGUCUUUCUUUCAAAUUAUCUGCUCUUUUUUUAUGUUUAAAAUGUACAUUGUAAAAUGCAUACAAGAAGUUUACUGCUAUUGAGACAAAGGCAAAAAUCAUAGAGUUACAGAACAUAUUGAUUACAGACAUAAUAACUAUAAACUAAAACAACACUUACCACUACUAAAUGAUCAGGAACUUUCAGGAAUUGAUUCCAGCUUCUAUCCAGGUUA